UUGCUCACUUCAGCAGCAAAUAUACUAAAAUUGGAAUGAUACAGAGAAGAUUAGCAUGGCUCCCUGGCAAGUAAGAAUGACAUACAACCAUGAAUGAUUUUU